AUUGAACGCUGGCGGCAGGCUUAACACAUGCAAGUCGAGCGGAGAUGAGGUGCUUGCACCUUAUCUUAGCGGCGGACGGGUGAGUAAUGCUUAGGAAUCUGCCUAUUAGUGUGGGACAACAUUCCGAAAGGAAUGCUAAUACCGCAUACGUCCUACGGGAGAAAGCAGGGGAUCUUCGGACCUUGCGCUAAUAGAUGAGCCUAAGUCGGAUUAGCUAGUUGGUGGGGUAAAGGCCUACCAAGGCGACGAUCUGUAGCGGGUCUGAGAGGAUGAUCCGCCACACAGGGACUGGGACACGGCCCUGACUCCUACGCGAGGCAGCAGUGGGGUACAUUGGACAAUGGGGGGAACCCUGAUCCAGCCAUGCCGCGUGUGUGACGAAGGCCUUAUGGUUGUAAAGCACUUUAAGCGAGGAGGAGGCUACUGAGACUAAUACUCUUGGAUAGUGGACGUUACUCGCAGAAUAAGCACCGGCUAACUCUGUGCCAGCCGCCGCCGUAACAC
rnacentral:rRNA from 1 species